UGAACGCUGGCGGCGUGCCUAACACAUGCAAGUCGAACGAAGCACUAUAACAGAUCCUCGGGAGAAGAUAGAGUGACUGAGUGGCGGACGGGUGAGUAACGCGUGGGUAACCUGCCCUGUACAGGGGGAUAACAGUUAGAAAUGACUGCUAAUACCGCAUAAGCGCACGAUGGUAGCAUUACCAGGUGUGAAAAAACUCCGGUGGUACAGGAUGGGCCCGCGUCUGAUUAGCUGGUUGCGGGGUAAGAGCCCACCAAGGCGACGAUCAGUAGCCGGUCUGAGAGGAUGAACGGCCACAUUGGAACUGAGACACGGUCCAAACUCCUACGGGAGGCAGCAGUGGGGAAUAUUGCACAAUGGGGGGAACCCUGAUGCAAGCAACGCCGCGUGGGUGAAGAAGUAUUUCGGUAUGUAAAGCCCUAUCAGCAGGGAAGAUAGUGACGGUACCUGACUAAGAAGCUCCGGCUAAAUACGUGCCAGCCGCAGC
rnacentral:rRNA from 1 species